AGAACCCUCAACCUCAAGAUGGCCACAGCAUUGGCACCUGAUGAAUCUCUAUGAGCACUCUCUCCUAGUCCCUAAGGGUUUCAUUCUAGAACUGCCUGAUGUUGUAAAAGGGAUGAGAGAAUUUCUUUUAUUUCCACCCUAUUACCAGACUUUUUGACUCUACAGCAUUCCUGUCAAAGCCACUGGGGCACCCUCGCCCCAGGGUCAGCUUCAGAGAACUCCCUUUAUGAUGAGCAGUUGUGUUCUUUCUUAAUCCGCAUCUUCCCUUCCUUCUGGCAAACUAUGAAAGACUCUCUACAGGGAAAAGUAUGCAGGAGAGCGAACAGAGCAAGCCAUGGAUUUCCUAAGACGGAUUCCCAACUGUUGCUAUGGACAAGGGAACAGUUAACAGGGUAAACACCAGGAAACGAUCUAGAAAGGUCCGUUGCUCUCAAAGACAGCCCAACCUCGUAUAGGUCAAAGUCUUCAGAAAGGGGUUCGAAUCAAUCUGCUAAUGACAUCAGAACAGAGCCAAAUAGGAAAGUCCAGCCCUGACCUCCAUGGCACAGGUGGCCUCUGGCAUUUAUCAUCUUUGCUUGCAGCCAGCAAAAUCAAUGAGCAAGACCAUUACAAAGAAAUACAGGAGACAGAAAACACUACAGCCUGAUUUCUUGUCAGAAGUUCCAUGCAAAUUGCUAUGUAAAUGAGCAAUUCCUUGUUCUGAUUGUACUUACCCUCGGAUCCCUUUGUUCAAAAAUUGUAUUACGUUUGUUUGUUUGUUCCUCUAUUUGUUGUGUGUGUGCACACUUGCAUGAAUUUAUGCCAUGGUGUCCAUGUGGAUGGAGGUCAGAGGAAAACCUACAGCAGUCAGUUCCCUCCUUCCACCAUGAGGGUCCUGAGAGUUGAACUCAGUUCCUCAGCCUUGUAGCAAGUGCCUUUACCUGCUGAGCCUUAAGAUCUCUUUCUUGCAUGUGAUCGUGACCUUUGGUCCCUGUUAUAAGAAACUACAUGACUUUAAUAAAGGCUCAGUUCUUCAACGUGCAUACACAAUACUGGGGAAAUUUUUGAAAACUGAUUCCCAGGUCUCACCCUUGAGACAUGAAUUUAUUUAUACAGAUGUGGUUGGGGAAGCGGUAAGGUUUCUCAAAGGUAUUUAGGGGAUUCUGUCUUGCAAAGCUGCCCUAGGUUGAACAGUGGACACAGUGAGGUUCAGAUGUUACUGCCGAGGAGGAGAGUUCCACCUUCCUUGGCCCCCAGUCACCACAGGUCUACAAGGUGACAUGACGUCCAACCUCUGAGAAGGACGAGAGCCUGGCAUCUCUGCUUCCGUUCUGCCCACUGCCUUCACUUUUGCUGAAAGCAGAGAUUAGCUGUAAUGGGCCUUAACCUUUCCUCUUCAGUCACCUUGAAUUCCAGAAGAGCUAAUUCUCAAAGGGCAGUGAAGCCCCUCCGCUCCCCACCCCCCACCAACUACAUAUCAGACCACCUGAAGGCCUGGAGCUGAGACGAUGGACAGGAGCACUCCUUGAACAGGACUGAAUGAUUGUGUAAUACUUCCUGCCCUCCAUUAAGCCAAAUUCUAAUGUCAGGACCUUGAAGAUGGACUUGGGGGUGGAUGGGGGAAGUAAUAGGUCACUGUAACCUUUUGUCUGUUCCCCUUCCUGGUGUAGCCAAAUGGAAUAAAUCUCCAUCCUGUGCUUUUCAUCA